UACGGAGGGUCCAAGCGUUGUCCGGAUUUAUUGGGUGUAAAGGGUGUGUAGGCGGGCCCGUAAGUCAGGGGUGAAAUCCUGCGGCUUAACCGUAGAACUGCCCUUGAUACUGCGGGUCUUGAGUCCUGGAGAGGUCGCCGGAAUUCGUGGUGUAGCGGUGAAAUGCGUAGAUAUCACGAGGAACGCCGGAGGUGUAGACGGGUGACUGGACAGGAACUGACGCUAAGGCACGAAAGCGUGGGGAGCGAACAGG
rnacentral:misc_RNA from 1 species